GCGAUCAUACCAGCAUUAAUGCACCGGAUCCCAUCGAACUCCGAAGUUAAGCGUGCUUGGGCGAGAGCAAUAUUAGGAUGGGUGACCGAAGUCCUCGUGUUGCACCU
rnacentral:rRNA from 1 species